UUUGAUUUGGGAGUAUGAGAAAGUUGAAGGAAAAGAGUGAACUCUUGCGCUCAAUUGACUAGUCUUUAUGGGAUAAGUAGAGAAACUUCUAGCUCAAUUUGUGAAAAGUCUUGGCCCCCAAGCAUAAAAAAAAAAAAAAAAGAGAGAAAGAAUAAAGAAAGGGGGCUAGCAAAGUUAGUAUGAGCUAAGAGGUGUUCAAAAAGUGUAAGAAAUCCCUUGUAAAAAAAAAAGUUUUAUGUUGGGAAAUGUUUUUGAAGUCCUUGGGUGAGAGAUGUGAGUUGGGUUUGGAAUGGGGAAAUGAAUGUGUAUCAUAUAUGUUUGGGAAAAGGGUAGAACAAUGGAGAUUGAGCAUUGUAUGCAUGAGUUGAUCUCUUUCUUAGAUAUAUUAUAUGCAAUGUCAAGGCUACUU
rnacentral:lncRNA from 1 species